GACGAACGCUGGCGGCGCGCCUAACACAUGCAAGUCGAACGGAGCUGAGAGAAGCUUGCUUUUCUUAGCUUAGUGGCGCACGGGUGAGUAACGCGUGAGUAACCUGCCCUGGAGUGGGGGACAACAGUUGGAAACGACUGCUAAUACCGCAUAAGCCCACGAUCCGGCAUCGGAUUGAGGGAAAAGGAUUUAUUCGCUUCAGGAUGGACUCGCGUCCAAUUAGCUAGUUGGUGAGGUAACGGCCCACCAAGGCGACGAUUGGUAGCCGGACUGAGAGGUUGAACGGCCACAUUGGGACUGAGACACGGCCCAGACUCCUACGGGAGGCAGCAGUGGGGGAUAUUGCACAAUGGGGGAAACCCUGAUGCAGCGACGCCGCGUGGAGGAAGAAGGUUUUCGGAUUGUAAACUCCUGUCGUUAGGGACGAUAAUGACGGUACCUAACAAGAAAGCACCGGCUAACUACGUG
rnacentral:rRNA from 1 species